rnacentral:rRNA from 1 species
UAGGGAAUCUUGCGCAAUGGGCGAAAGCCUGACGCAGCCAUGCCGCGUGAAUGAUGAAGGUCUUAGGAUUGUAAAAUUCUUUCACCGGGGAAGAUAAUGACGGUACCCGGAGAAGAAGCCCCGGCUAACUUCGUGCCAGCAGCCGCGGUAAUACGAAGGGGGCUAGCGUUGCUCGGAAUUACUGGGCGUAAAGGGCGCGUAGGCGGAUAUUUAAGUUAGAGGUGAAAGCCCAGGGCUCAACCCUGGAAUAGCCUUUAAUACUGGAUAUCUUGAGUUCGGGAGAGGUGAGUGGAACUCCGAGUGUAGAGGUGAAAUUCGUAGAUAUUCGGAAGAACACCAGUGGCGAAGGCGACUCACUGGCCCGAUACUGACGCUGAGGCGCGAAAGCGUGGGGAGCAAACA